GCCAGCAGCCGCGGUAAGACGAAGGAUGCGAGCGUUAUCCGGAAUUACUGGGCGUAAAGGACGUCUAGGCGGUUGGAUAAGUCAUUUGUGAAAUCCCAGGGCUUAACCCUGGAAGGUCUUGUGAUACUGUCCGGCUUGGGUGUAGGAGAGGAGAGCGGAACUCACAGAGUAGCGGUGGAAUGCGUAGAUACUGUGAGGUACCCCGAUGGCGAAGGCAGCUCUCUGGCCUACUACCGACGCUGAAGCGUGAAAGCGUGGGGAGCAAAGGGGAUUAGAUACCCCCGUAGUCCACGCCCCAAACGAUGUUCACUUGGUGUCGGGAGCCUAUAUAUCUCGGUGCCCGAGCUAACGCGUUAAGUGAACCGCCCUGAGAAUACGGGCGCAAGGCUAAAACUCAAGAAAAUUGGACGGUCCC
rnacentral:rRNA from 1 species